rnacentral:rRNA from 1 species
AUUGAACGCUGGCGGCAGGCCUAACACAUGCAAGUCGAACGGUAACAGGAAGAAGCUUGCUUCUUUGCUGACGAGUGGCGGACGGGUGAGUAAUGUCUGGGAAACUGCCUGAUGGAGGGGGAUAACUACUGGAAACGGUAGCUAAUACCGCAUAACGUCGCAAGACCAAAGAGGGGGACCUUCGGGCCUCUUGCCAUCGGAUGUGCCCAGAUGGGAUUAGCUAGUAGGUGGGGUAACGGCUCACCUAGUCGACGAUCCCUAGCUGGUCUGAGAGGAUGACCAGCCACACUGGAACUGAGACACGGUCCAGACUCCUACGGGAGGCAGCAGUGGGGAAUAUUGCACAAUGGGCGGAAGCCUGAUGCAGCCAUGCCGCGUGUAUGAAGAAGGCCUUCGGGUUGUAAAGUACUUUCAGCGGGGAGGAAGGGAGUAAAGUUAAUACCUUUGCUCAUUGACGUUACCCGCAGAAGAAGCACCGGCUAACUCCGUG